GGGAAUUUGUACAAAAGUAUGCAGGAGCAUAUGAGAAAGCAAAAAUUAAUAUGACAUGAAGACGCCGUAGGUUCGAAUCCUACAAUUCCCA
rnacentral:tRNA from 1 species